UUCGAUUCCGGCUCGAAGGACUUCGUG
rnacentral:piRNA from 1 species